rnacentral:misc_RNA from 1 species
AAGUCGUAACAAGGUUUCCGUAGGUGAACCUGCGGAAGGAUCAUUAAAAGUAAUAUGUAUUCUCUCGAAUAUACAUUAUAAACCCAUCUGUGUAUCUUACCCGUUGCUUCCGCGAGGCAGUGAUCUCGGUCACCUCCGAACGAUGGCGAAAGCUGUCCGACGGGGAGCACUCGCGGGAGGUAUACAUCAAACUCUUGCAUUUUUAUGUCAUCUGUCUGAACUGUUUAUAACAAAUGUUAAAACUUUCAACAACGGAUCUCUUGGUUCUC